AAGCUCGUAGUUGAAUUUCGGGAUUAGUACGUCGGUCGUGCCUUAGGUACGUACUGGUGUUACUGGUUCCUACCUUCUGACGAACCAUCAUGUCAUUAAUUUGGUGUGGUGGGGAAUCAGGACUGUUACUUUGAAAAAAUUAGAGUGUUUAAAGCAGGCUCGCGCUUGAAUACAUUAGCAUGGAAUAAUGAAAUAGGACGUUGAUCCUAUUUUGUUGGUUUCUAGGAUUGACGUAAUGAUUAAUAGGGAUAGUUGGG
rnacentral:rRNA from 1 species